rnacentral:lncRNA from 1 species
AUGAUCGAAUACUUGCUGAAGCACGGUGCUAAAGUCGACUCUCUCGAUGGGGAAGGACAGACCCCCAGUUUUUUUGCAGUCAUAAUGAGGAACCGACGCACACUGGAAUGUCUGAUCGAAAAUGGAGCAAAUAUAUCUAAUUACCCAGAACUGCCGUUUGGAGCCAUUUUCGCGGGAGAUCCUUUAAUUCUAGAAAUUCUUCUACUGCAUGGUGCUCGUGUAGACACUUCUUUCGUAACAGCAAAGAAUACUCCUUUUCUACCCAGACUCAAAUCUGAUGAAAUUAUAUUGAGCAAGAGUUUGUCAGGAUCAGAGUAUGAAGACAUGAAAUGUCUAUUUUACAAGAUUUUGCCAACAUCAGGGAAUGUAGACAUGGAAUUACUUCCUCUUAGUUCUCUCUUCCUAUACAUCAGCAAGGGAAGCAAGCAUAAUCGGGAAAAUGACCCUAGGUUGAUGGAUCGAGGGCUUUACAAUACUCGUAGCUCAGUGACAGAACAUGUGGAUCUUCCACUCAUAUUUUACGCAGUGGCAAGAGAUAGCAGACAAUCCUUCAAUAUCUUGGUUGAUUAUGGAGCUCUUUUCGACUCGAAAGUAUGCCUUGACGCAAGAUCAUUGUCUUUCGCCGCCAAAAAUUUCUGGAUGUCCUCUGGAUCUGUAUUUCGUACUUUGUUGGAUUAUAGUUUCCCUCAAUUUGAUCGCAGCCAGUCGUGCGAACAUCAAUUAACUUGUAGAGCAUGCGGCCAUGCUGGUUAUGAGGAAAUCAUGCUCUGCGUAGAGUUCGCGAAAUACUUAUUGAAGAUAAGUUGUUGUGGAAUAUGCGAAGUCUCGGACGAGCGCAUAGCUGCCCUUUGGAAGGGAGUAACGUGGGAAUCCUUGCGCUGGGACGAGUAUCAGAGAUCGUGCAAGGAAGAAAUUCUAUUUCUUAAAGAGAAGCGAAUUGAUAACACGGAUUUGACGUUGUACGAAGUUCUAACCCGAGAUGAGAAUCAAAUUGCAAACUACUCGAGGAACCCUGGCUUCGCCUCGCUCUUAAAGGUAACAUUUCUCAACAGCUAA